rnacentral:rRNA from 1 species
ACGGGUGUGUAACGCGUGGGUAACCUACCCUGUACACACGGAUAACAUACCGAAAGGUAUGCUAAUACGGGAUAAUAUAUUUGAGAGGCAUCUCUUAAAUAUCAAAGGUGAGCCAGUACAGGAUGGACCCGCGUCUGAUUAGCUAGUUGGUAAGGUAACGGCUUACCAAGGCGACGAUCAGUAGCCGACCUGAGAGGGUGAUCGGCCACAUUGGAACUGAGACACGGUCCAAACUCCUACGGGAGGCAGCAGUGGGGAAUAUUGCACAAUGGGCGAAAGCCUGAUGCAGCAACGCCGCGUGAGUGAUGAAGGCCUUCGGGUCGUAAAACUCUGUCCUCAAGGAAGAUAAUGACGGUACUUGAGGAGGAAGCCCCGGCUAACUACGUGCCAGCAGCCGCGGUAAUACGUAGGGGGCUAGCGUUAUCCGGAUUUACUGGGCGUAAAGGGUGCGUAGGCGGUCUUUCAAGUCAGGAGUGAAAGGCUACGGCUCAACCGUAGUAAGCUCUUGAAACUGGGAGACUUGAGUGCAGGAGAGGAGAGUGGAAUUCCUAGUGUAGCGGUGAAAUGCGUAGAUAUUAGGAGGAACACCAGUUGCGAAGGCGGCUCUCUGGACUGUAACUGACGCUGAGGCACGAAAGCGUGGGGAGCAAACAGGAUUAGAUACCCUGGUAGUCCACGCUGUAAACGAUGAGUACUAGGUGUCGGGGGUUACCCCCUUCGGUGCCGCAGCUAACG